UGUGCCACUGCACUCCAGACUGGGUGACAGGAGUGUGACCUUGUCUCAAAAAAACAAACAAAAAAUAAACAAGCAUUUCCCUGCAUACCUCACAAGGUUCUUAUGAUAAUUUAUUAAAAGAUUGAUAGCAGCAGCAGCAGCAGCAGCAAGAUCUCAUUUCAGUUUCAGAUUCUGAGAAGCUGCUUUUGGUUUCUAUGGUUGGCUACCUUGAGGUCCCAGGCAAGGCCCAGAGAGUUACUUUAAAAGCCCCCAAAUCACUUAAAAGCCCUCAAGCAAUUUGGGCAUGGCCACAACCUGUAUUUCCCCAUUCAGAAGCAACAAGGUCUCCCAAAACAGAUGUAGUUGGAAAAAUUCUUGACAAAAUUCCUCCAAACCAGAAAUUCUCAAAACCAGACAUGUUGGCGCAUCAAAAUCAGUUCCCAGCAAUGAAUCAAAGCCUUAGAAUCUCAGGCACAGAAGCCAGAUGGGAGCUCAAAUCUUCAGGCAGAAUAUCUACGGCCUUAGGUUGCAAUAUCUGCUUUGAGUAGUGUUUACCAAAUAUCUCUAUGGGUUGCACUAAAAAUUCCAUAUGGUAUAUGUGUGGGAGAAUUACACGGGAAGGAUAAGUGUGGGAUGCAGGAUAGUGGUUGUGAGGGAGGUUGUGGGGAGGGGAAGAAAGAAAUGGGACUGGGAGAGGCACACAGUGGACUUCAGUGGUAUUGACAAUUACUAUUUUUAAAAAAGCUGAGUGGCAGGUAUAUGAUUAUUUUUAUGAUCCUGUAUAAUUACAUAUGUGUACAGACAUAUAUUUCAUAUGUGUGAAGCAUUUAAUAAUAAAAAGGGGAGAAAAGCAGAAAGGAGGCCCCAAAUCCAGAAAAGAUCCCACCUCGCUGCCUUCUAUUUGUCAAAGUGUAGAUCAGUGGGCAUAGGGCCACCUGGGAACACUGUUUCUGCUUUGGUCUAGGACAUAAUCUAGGCCUGGAAAACAGUCUGCUCGAUCAUUUAACAUUGCUCUAUUUCAAGUAAAAUGUCCUUGUAUGAUUUAUUCUCCAUGACACCAAUUUGCUACGAGGAUAUUUGGAGUUAACGUCUCUGGUUUGGUCCUGCCUGCCAAACACAUUCCCUAAGUGACUGUCUUUCAUGGUCAGAUGAGAGGUUUCUGGAAGUGCUAGUACUAUCUUCUCUUAGCUAAAGAGAGAAUCUUUUCUCUCAAGAUAUAAACAAGAGAAGCAUCAGUGGCGGCAGCUGCUGGCCCGGCACUGCCCCGUGCCAGCUCGCUAAGCACUUGGUCCCAGCUGGAGAGACUUGAUAGGACUUUGCCGUUCUGCCUGCCACAGCUGUUCACUUCUCAGGAAGGGAGUCCAGAAGCUAUGUGGCUGCCUGUGUGGUCAGACGUGGGUGAGAAGAUGAGGAUGGAUGCUUGCUCCUCUCAUGGAAACAGAUAACUUCCGUACCUGCCAAACCAAUGGCAGAGGAGCUGGGAAGCUCACAGGCAUUGCUGAGGCCUUUGAAGAUGUUAGCUGAGAAAGGCAGACCAGCCAGCAUGGAGCUGCCCUCCCUCCCACUCAGCGCCUUUCCUAGGCCAAGGACCAGGUGAAGGUGAUUGUCAAAGGCUGGACAGUGGUCAGGAGCGGGCUGGGAUGAGUGCUGGGCUUGUUAGCAGAGCUCUUAGCUUUUGAGUGACCUCUCUGGGUCCUACACUGUACUCCAGGGUCACAGUUAAGAUAUUUAGCAACCAGGAUGGCAUAGGCACCGGCCAAUUGGAAUGGAGAAGGGCUUUAUUGCUGGAGGUCUUAGCUGCACCUGGCCUGAGCUUUUAGGUGCUGGAUGGUAGAGCGAUGGGGAGGACCUGAGGGAAGGACCGGGGUGUGGGUGUGGGCAGGCCUUGGGGAGCUCAGAGCAUCCACUGUUCACCUAUCAGUACAAACCUCUUUCAACAUUCUACCAACCAGUGUUGCCACACUCCUGCUGGAUGUCAGGGCUGAAUGUUGGCUCUGCCAUGCCGUAUGAGAAAGGUGGAUUGGAGCCUCACACUUUAUGUGAAUCAGAAUCACUUGGGGAUAUUGUUAAAAACAGACACCCAGAACCCGCCUUCAAACUACUGAGUGAGACUCUCUAGGGCCCAGGCCAGGCUUACUACACUCCUAAGUCCUGAGUGUCCUGGAUCAGCUGAUCCCUAAGUAUUCGGCUGCGACUUUCUAGGGGGUUAUGAGGACUUGAGAGAUGCGGUCCUGCACAGUCUCUGGAGGGAAUGUGCCUAAUUCAGGGGCAGGUCACGUGGGUGAGUGAAGCAGGCUGCUGUGGCGCAGUAUGUUGAAGAAUGAAUGUUCAUUUAUUUGAAGCCGCCUUGACCCUGAUCCAGCCGCCUGGGUUGCUGCUGCCGGGGAAGGCAGGCCUGGUGUGGACGGACCCCCUGACUUUUCAAGACACACUGGAGGUCACUGAGCCAUGUUUUGAGUCAGUUCUGCAUCUCAUCAAGACACAGGUAAUCAGAAGAGGGGUUUGGAAACUCAAGAGCACAUAAGUGAACAAAACAUCAAGCUUGCUCUUAAAAGUUUUUCAAUCUUACGCAUGUUGAAAUGGCCUCACUCCAGUCUUGCUCGAAGUCUGCUGGGUAAACUGCAAGUUCUAACAGACUAAGAGGAAGUGCUUCAGUCACCUAAGAUGAGGGAACUUGAGACACAGAGAGGAUAAAUAACUCAUCUCGGGAGUCACAGCUAGCAGAAG
rnacentral:lncRNA from 1 species